rnacentral:lncRNA from 1 species
AUGGAAUUGUUAACAGGAAGGAAACCUUACGAUGGUGCCAGGCCAAGGGAAGAGCAAUAUAUGGAAAAAUGGGCUUCCUCCAGCCUUCAAAACAACUUCGUCCCCAAAAUGUAUGAAAUUAUAGACUCUCUUGUAUCUUCAUACCAAAAGUUCAACUUUGCAAAGACCAGUGUAGCAGACAAUACUGUUCUAUUUGAGAAGUCUCUCCAAUCAGAAGACAUACGCUUUAAAAGUUUGCCAACAUUUAGUCAUCUAUCAACUUGA